rnacentral:lncRNA from 1 species
GCGGGUUCGCAAAAAAAGAAUCUCGAAUGGUCAACAAUAAUACAUCGCUCAAGGUGAAUAAUUAUCUAUUUUAACAUAACAAAUAGUAUCAACAGUAAAAACAAAUAGAAAAACAUUGUCCAAUUUGAAACAGAAGUGUACGAGUUGUCCUUCGCUUCAGACUCGACAUUCACUAAGCAUGCAUGCUGAAAUUGACAUGGUUGUUUUUGUUACACAAUC